GAUGAAGAACGUAGCGAAAUGCGAUAAGUAAUGUGAAUUGCAGAAUUCAGUGAAUCAUCGAAUCUUUGAACGCACAUUGCGCCCCUUGGUAUUCCGAGGGGCAUGCCUGUUCGAGCGUCAUUAUCACCCCUCAAGCUUUGCUUGGUGUUGGGGCCUGCUGUAAUAGGCAGCCCUUAAAAUCAGUGGCGGUGCUUCAAGGCUCUAAGCGUAGUAAUUCUCCUCGCUAUAGUGUCUAGUGGUUGCCAGCCAGAACCCCCCAAUUUUCAUGAUUGACCUCGGAUCAGGUAGGGAUACCCGCUGAACUUAAGCAUAUCAAUAAGCGGAGGA
rnacentral:misc_RNA from 1 species